GGGGGUGGCCCUAAAUACAUGCAAGUCGAGCGGACCUCUUCGGAGGUCAGCGGCGGACGGGUGAGUAACACGUGGGCAACCUGCCUGUAAGACUGGGAUAACUCCGGGAAACCGGAGCUAAUACCGGAUACUAUGUCAAACCGCAUGGUUUGACAUUCAAAGACGGUUUCGGCUGUCACUUACAGAUGGGCCCGCGGCGCAUUAGCUAGUUGGUGAGGUAACGGCUCACCAAGGCGACGAUGCGUAGCCGACCUGAGAGGGUGAUCGGCCACACUGGGACUGAGACACGGCCCAGACUCCUACGGGAGGCAGCAGUAGGGAAUCUUCCGCAAUGGACGAAAGUCUGACGGAGCAACGCCGCGUGAGUGAUGAAGGUUUUCGGAUCGUAAAACUCUGUUGUCAGGGAAGAACAAGUGCCGGAGUAACUGCCGGCGCCUUGACGGUACCUGACCAGAAAGCCACGGCUAACUACGUGCCAGCAGCCGCGGUAAUACGUAGGUGGCAAGCGUUGUCCGGAAUUAUUGGGCGUAAAGCGCGCGCAGGCGGUUUCUUAAGUCUGAUGUGAAAGCCCCCGGCUCAACCGGGGAGGGUCAUUGGAAACUGGGAAACUUGAGUGCAGAAGAGGAGAGUGGAAUUCCACGUGUAGCGGUGAAAUGCGUAGAGAUGUGGAGGAACACCAGUGGCGAAGGCGACUCUCUGGUCUGUAACUGACGCUGAGGCGCGAAAGCGUGGGGAGCGAACAGGAUUAGAUACCCUGGUAGUCCACGCCGUAAACGAUGAGUGCUAAGUGUUAGAGGGUUUCCGCCCUUUAGUGCUGCAGCUAACGCAUUAAGCACUCCGCCUGGGGGAGUACGGUCGCAAGACUGAAACUCAAAGGAAUUGACGGGGGGCCCGCACAAGCGGUGGGAGCAUGUGGGUUUAAUUUCGAAGCAACGCGAGAACCCUUUACCAGGUCUUGACAUCCCUUUGCACUUCUAGAGAAUAGAAGAUCCCCGUCGGGGGACAAGUGACAGUGCUGGCAUGAUGGUCGGUCAGCUCAUUCGUGGAAUGCUGGGUUUAAGUCCGCACCGAAGCCGCAACCCGAUUUGA
rnacentral:rRNA from 1 species